UACGUAGGGUGCAAGCGUUGUCCGGAAUUAUUGGGCGUAAAGAGCUCGUAGGCGGUCUGUUACGUCGGCUGUGAAAACCUGGGGCUCAACCCCGGGCCUGCAACCGAUACGGGCAGACUAGAAUUCGGUAGGGGAGACUGGAAUUCCUGGUGUAGCGGUGAAAUGCGUAGAUAUCUGGAGGAACACCGGUGGCGAAGGCGGCAUCCUGGACCGGUAUUGACGCUGAGGCGCGAAAGCUAGGGGAGCAAACGGG
rnacentral:rRNA from 1 species